GCCUGCCACCAGUUGGGGUCAUCCUGGCUGAUGACGUGAAGAAUGUCCCCUUUCUGGAAAGAAAGGCCCAGCUCCCGACAUGGCACAAAAGGGUCAUCUGAGGGGUCGUAGUCAAAGUCACAACUUGCCAUUCUUCUCUGAAGUCCGCAUUACUCUGCGACCACACCACCCCCCAAAGACGCCCAAGAUAUCAAUUCACGUCAACUCACCGGUAAUUGCAUCUUUGGUGGUAUGGUCCUUCCCCUCAAAGCUCAUCCUGGUAGUGUUGGAUUCUCUCCAUCUGGGCACUGCAGUGCACGGGCUUGACGAGGCAACUCUCGUCGCCAGGGCAGUCCAGUGGCCGCUCCCUGUGGCUGGCGGCCUGGGCGGUGCCUUCCUGCACAUAACCGU